UGGGGAAUAUUGCACAAUGGGGGAAACCCUGAUGCAGCGACGCCGCGUGAGCGAAGAAGGUUUUCGAAUCGUAAAGCUCUGUCCUAUGAGAAGAUAAUGACGGUAUCAUAGGAGGAAGCCCUGGCUAAAUACGUGCCAGCAGCCGCGGUAAUACGUAUGGGGCGAGCGUUGUCCGGGAUUAUUGGGCGUGAAGGGUACGUAGGCGGUCUAUUAAGUCAGGUGUGAAAGCGUGAGGCUUAACCUCAUUAAGCACUUGAAACUGAUAGACUUGAGUGAGGGAGAGGAAAGUGGAAUUCCUAGUGUAGCGGUGAAAUGCGUAGAUAUUAGGAGGAAUACCGGUGGCGAAGGCGACUUUCUGGACUUUUACUGACGCUCAGGUACGAAAGCGUGGGGAGCAAACAGG
rnacentral:rRNA from 1 species